GAUGAACGCUGGCGGCGUGCCUAAUACAUGCAAGUCGAGCGAACAGACGAGGAGCUUGCUCCUCUGACGUUAGCGGCGGACGGGUGAGUAACACGCGGAUAACCUCCCUGUAAGACUGGGAUAACUUCGGUAAAUCGGAGCUAAUACCGGAUAAUGUAUUGAACCGCAUGGUUUCAUAGUGAAAGACGGUUUUGCUGUCACUUAUAGAUGGAUCCGCGCCGCAUUAGCUAGUUGGUAAGGUAACGGCUUACCAAGGCGACGAUGCGUAGCCGGCCUGAGAGGGUGAUCGGCCACACUGGAACUGAGACACGGUCCAGACUCCUACGGGAGGCAGCAGUAGGGAAUCUUCCACAAUGGGCGAAAGCCUGACGGAGCAACGCCGCGUGAGUGAUGAAGGUCUUCGGAUCGUAAAACUCUGUUAUUAGGGAAGAACAAAUGUGUAAGUAACUAUGCACGUCUUGACGGUACCGAAUCAGAAAGCCACGGCUAACUACGUG
rnacentral:rRNA from 1 species